GUAUUUGUUUUGGCAGUACAUAUAUUAAAAUUGGAAUGAUACAGAGAAGAUUAAUAUGGCCCUUGUGCAAAUAUGACAUGCAAAUUCAUGAAGCAAACCAUAUUUUU